rnacentral:rRNA from 1 species
GACGAACGCUGGCGGCGUGCUUAACACAUGCAAGUCGAACGGUAAGGCCUUUCGGGGUUAUACGAGUGGCGAACGGGUGAGUAACACGUGAGCAAUAUGCCCUUGACUUCGGAUUCCCAGCUGGUAACAGAUGCUAAUACCGGAUAUGACCCUGGUCCUCCUGGACUGGGGUGGAAAGCUCCGUCGGUCAGGGAUGGGUUCGCGGCCUAGCUGCUUGUUUGUGUGGUAAUGGGUUUCCAAGGCUUCGACGGGUAGCCGGCCUGAGAGGGCGACCGGCCACACUGGGACUGAGAUACGGCCCAGACGCCUACGGGGGGCAGCAGUGGGGAAUAUUGCACAAUGGGCACAAGCCUGGUGCAGCAACGCCGCGUGCGGGAUGACGGCCUUCGGGUUGUAAACCGGUUUCAGUAGGGACGAAGCCACAAGUGACGGUACCUACAGAAGAAGGACCGGCUAACUACGUG